ensembl:snoRNA SNORA70 Small nucleolar RNA SNORA70
CUGCAGCCAAUUAAGUCAGCGGGGCUCCUUUCCUUGUGGGGCACAGGGUGCAAUGGCUGCAAAUAGCAGCCUCCUUGGUAACACAUGCAGCCAUUGCUUGGAUGGCUAGCCUGAGGGACCUUGGAGAUGGAC